rnacentral:lncRNA from 1 species
AGACACCAUGGCUUAAUCAGACUUUAGCUAGAAUCAAUCUGAGAAUCUGAAUUAAACUUGUUAGCUUAUUUGCUUGAGUUAGUUCUUUUCUUCUUUCUUGUUGUUUGUCCUUUUCUUUCUUGUUUUCUGUUUUGUGCAGGGAUCAAAUUGAGUCAACCUAUCAUCAAUCCUUGUGGGAUCGACCUCGCACUUACAUAUGUUAUACUACCG